GGGUGAAGGUUAAGCCAGCUUGGAGUCUGAGCCUGGAUUGUCUCCACACGGCUCUCAACAUGGAGGUGGUUGAGCCAGCGGCUAGCAGCUAAUGGUGCUGACAGCGCAAACGACUGCAACAGUGCUGACAGAGCCAUCAACCUGCAGGAACCGUGGGCCCAUCAGGAGGGCUCCAGUGCCCCUUCAUCCUGCCCCUUCGCUAGAUGGGAUUUCUCUCCUGGAAUUGUUCACCACAGAGACAAUGAUGAAGGGAUCCUGCAAUUGCAACAUAUGUA